rnacentral:rRNA from 1 species
AGGGAAUAUUGCACAAUGGAGGAAACUCUGAUGCAGCGACGCCGCGUGAGUGAUGAAGGCCUUCGGGUCGUAAAGCUCUGUCGCAGGGGAAUAAGCAAGUGAAUGUACCCUGAAAGAAAGGAUCGGCUAACUUCGUGCCAGCAGCCGCGGUAAGACGAGGGAUCCUAGCGUUGUUCGGAAUUAUUGGGCGUAAAGCGGGUGUAGGUGGCUUUGUAAGUCAGGUGUGAAAGCCCAGGGCUCAACCCUGGAAGUGCAUUUGAUACUGCGAAGCUUGAGUGUAGGAGAGGUUACUAGAAUUCUUGGUGUAGUGGUGAAAUACGUAGAUAUCAAGAGGAAUACCGGAGGCGAAAGCGGGUAACUGGCCUAACACUGACACUCAGACCCGAAAGCGUGGGGAUCAAAC